UGAAGAGAGAGUUGACCCUGGAUAUCCACUGCUACACCUACUGGACCGAUUCAACGACAGUACUUACCUGGCUGAAUUCCGAAUCCUGCAAGUACAAAGUCUUCGUGGGCACUAGGAUUGCUGAGAUUCAGGAAUUGACAGAUGCUGAAACCUGGCGCUAUGUCGACACCCAGAGGAAUCCAGCUGAUGACAUUACAAGAGGGAAGACCCUGUCACAGCUGGCAGAAUGCCCCCAUUGGUUCCAAGGCCCAGAUUUCCUUAGACAGCCAGAAACUUCAUGGCCUGAACAGCCAUCAGGAAAUCCUGCUGAGGUCCCUGAAGAGAUGCGGAAACAAACCUUUUGCGGAGCCACAACCGUCGACAGUGGUCCACCUCUACUUGACAUCGGUCAAUACAGCACCUUCCAGGAACUCCUUGAAGCGGUAGCCUGCUCACCUCACGGGGUGGCUUCUGAUACGGAGAGUACGUCAGCGGCUGACUUAAGGAAAGCUGAGCUGGAUGUUCUUCGUCAAGCCCAGAUCGAAAGCAUUUCCAGACGACCAUGGAGAGAAGGACUUUUAGAAGCAAAUCCGUACAACAGAUUUGGGGGCGGCUGUACAAAAGCCCAUCGAUUCAUAUUAUUUGGUAAUGUGUAAGUUGUGCUAUUGUUAUUUUGGUCAGGCAGUUAAUUGGCCACCUAUGGCUGAGCACUAUAAAGCUGAGGUUUCAUUAGGACCUCUUCCUUUUCUGGCAUCUUCAGGAGUGGGAUCGAAGUCCAGCUGUUGCAGGCUGACUGUUGAAGUAAUUUGAUUCUUUUGUGUUUGAUGGUGUGCGUGCAUCUAGUGAACCACACACAUAAAUACAUACAAACUCUGAUCACACAUUGAUCAUUCUUACUCUGUGUUGUGGGUGUGAAGACUCAAUAAAGACUCAUUUCUUUGGA